UACGUAGGGUGCGAGCGUUAAUCGGAAUUACUGGGCGUAAAGCGUGCGCAGGCGGUGAGCUGUGUCCGAUGUGAAAGCCCCGGGCUUAACCUGGGAAUGGCAUUGGAAACUGUCUCGCUGGAGUGUGGCAGAGGGGGGUGGAAUUCCGCGUGUAGCAGUGAAAUGCGUAGAGAUGCGGAGGAACACCGAUGGCGAAGGCAGCCCCCUGGGCUAACACUGACGCUCAGGCACGAAAGCGUGGGGAGCAAACAGG
rnacentral:rRNA from 1 species